rnacentral:rRNA from 1 species
GGCAUAGCCAAAAAUGAGCAUGCCUGAUCUCAGAAGCGAAGUAGCACUGGUGAUGGUUAGUACUUGGAUGGGAGAUCACAUUGAAAUACCCGAUGCUGUAGUCU